UCGCCUGUUUAACAAAAACAUGUCUUUUUGAAUUUUUUUUAAAGUCUAGCCUGCCCACUGAAUAAUUUUAAAUGGCCGCAGUAUACUAACUGUGCAAAGGUAGCAUAAUCAUUAGUCUUUUAAUUGAAGGCUGGUAUGAAUGGUUGGACGAGAUAUUAACUGUUUCAUAAAAAUUUAUAAUAGAAUUUUAUUUUUUAGUCAAAAAGCUAAAAUAUAUUUAAAAGACGAGAAGACCCUAUAAAUCUUUAUAUUUAGGUUAUUAUAAUUUUAUAGAUUUUUUUUGUUAUAAUAAUUGAUAAUAUUUUAUUGGGGUGAUAUUAAAAUUUGAUAAACUUUUAAUUGUUUAAAUCAUUAAUUUAUGAAUAAUUGAUCCGUUAUUAGCGAUUAAAAAAAUAAGUUACUUUAGGGAUAACAGCGUAAUUUUUUUGGAGAGUUCAUAUCGAUAAAAAAGAUUGCGACCUCGAUGUUGGAUUAAGGUAUAAUUUUAGGUGUAGCCGCUUAAAUUUUAAGUCUGUUCGACUUUUAAAUUCUUACGUGAUCUGAGUUCAGACCGGA
rnacentral:rRNA from 1 species